ensembl:lncRNA
CCGCCCUGCGCCCGGACACCGGCUCCCGGCCCUGGCAACACGAGCGUAACCACAACCCCUACCCAGAAUAGAUGCAGACACAGGGGCCAGACAGAAACCCCCAGAGGACACACACACGCUGUACCCUGCAGCUCCACAGACUGUUCAUUUGCCCGAGUCGGGAUGAGACAAGACAUGUGCAGGUUGUGCCCGUAGCGGUCUGGCCUGAUCAGCAGUCUGACAGUGACGGGAGGAGGCGGGCAGGUGGGGGAGCCAGAUUCAUUUGCAUAAUUAUGGACGUGCUUCCUGAAACACAGCCCCGCCCACCACCGACCUUUCAACAACCCGAAUACUGAAGAGCACAGAGAAACACAGCCGUGCCAGAUAAGAGCUGCCACGCACCAGACCGCACGCUUCCGUCCGCCCGCUCAACCAGUGUUUACUUCUGAGGAAAGACAGCAGGCGGAGAAAGGGACGACAAACAGACGAGUGCGACCUGCAGCAGGCAGGUGUGACCUCUCUUUACACGCGUGACACACGCUCGUAUGAAGAGAGAGAUUUGUUUUCAUAAUGCCACAUUGUUGUGACACACCAAACACAAACACAUGCAUUUUAAUGCUCUUUCAUAGCUGAGGAUGCAAAAUGGAGAUCUCAGUUUAAUUGAUGGAAGGGCUUUUGGCUUUGGUGGGGACGUAACGGCAGACAACAGACAUUUAAUUGUUUGAUCAAAAUUAUUGCUAUAGGGACAAUUUAGUAGUCGCUGGAUAUUGGUAGGGACAUGUCAUAGCAUCCCUACUAAAUUAACCAUAACAAGCAAUGUCCGUCUUUGGAAACUAUAGUACUCUCCUUAAAUAUGAAGAGGUCAAACAAGAGAUUAAUGAGUUAAUCCAAAUUUCACCAAAAGCUUAUGGAUGUAAUUAUAACAUAAGUCGGUCACUGAAGUGAAUUGCUGUUUUUGUCUCUUCUGAGAAAGAUUCAUUCACUUGUUUUGGCAAUGUACCCACACACACAGAAAUUUUGGUCAGAUUUUUUUAAUGUUCAUCCAAUCUCAUUUUGUAAGUGACUUUUCUUUCUGUUUUAAAGAUGUUUUCUUUGGAUUGUUUGACUACUCGAAAGAGAAUAUAGGAAAAUAUAACUUACUUAAUUUGUGUUUUGUGCUAGCUUUCACAUACAUAAACAAAAAUCUGCCUCUAAACCCCUUUUCUUUAUUCAAUUGAUCUAGACAAGUAUAUGGAAACUAUCCAAAGUUCUGUUCAUCCCAAAGCAGUCAAAAUUGUAUCUCUAUAUUCAUCCUGUGUCCUCUUAAGGUG